rnacentral:rRNA from 1 species
UGGUGUGAAUUGCAGAAUCCCGCGAACCAUUGAGUCUUUGAACGCAAGUUGCGCCCGAGGCUUUCCCGCCGAGGGCACGCCUGCCUGGGCGUCACGCCNUCNUNNCNCCNCGCCCCCUCGCACGAGUGGCGGCGUCGGACGCAGACAUUGGCCCCCUGCGCCCUCGGGCGUGGUCGGCCGAAGAGAGGGGCCGUCGUUGGUGGUCGGACACGACGGAUGGUGGCCACGAGCAAGCCGGACGUCGUGCCCCCGCCGUGGAGAUGAGCUCCGGAGGACCCCCCACCCCCGCAUAAUCGUUUGCCUCGGAUUGCGACCUCAGGUCAGGCGGGGCUACCCGCUGAGUUUAAGCAUAUAAAUAAGCGGAGGAGAAGAAACUUACGAGGAUUCCUAUAGUAACGGCGAGCGAAUCGGGAU